AGGAUGAACGCUGGCGGAGUGCCUAACACAUGCAAGUCGAGCGGCAGCGGGAGUAGUUUACUACUUGCCGGCGAGCGGCGGACGGCUGAGUAACGCGUGGGAACAUGCCCCAAAGUGAGGAAUAACUGCCCGAAAGGGUAGCUAAUGCCGCAUAUGAUCUUCGGAUUAAAGGAUUUAUCCGCUUUGGGAGUGGCCCGCGUUAGAUUAGGUAGUUGGUGAGGUAAAGGCUCACCAAGCCGACGAUCUAUAGCUGGUCUGAGAGGAUGACCAGCCAGACUGGAACUGAGACACGGUCCAGACUCCUACGGGAGGCAGCAGUGAGGAAUCUUCCACAAUGGGGGAAACCCUGAUGGAGCAACUCCGCGUGCAGGAUGAAGGCCUUCGGGUCGUAAACUGCUUUUAUUUGUGAAGAAUAUGACGGUAACAAAUGAAUAAGGGUCGGCUAACUACGCGCCGAGCAGCCGCGGUAA
rnacentral:rRNA from 1 species